GAGCAGAAAUAGCAGAAAUGGCUAACAAGCUGAUCAGCGAAAUAGGUCUGCCCAAAUCAAUCGCAAACAUAUUUGCAGCUCGUAAUAUCAAUACUGCCAAGGAGGCUUUAUCUUUGACCGAAUUCGAGUUGAUGGAGCUGUUAGAUGUUGGAAUGGCGGAUGUAACAUCUGCAGUGGCCCACAUUAGUGCUGUUGUGUCCCCUCCAUAUCAAACUGCCCUUUUUUUGAUGGAGCAACGGCUACAAAAUGAACAAUUUGCAGGGCAUCUCCCCACCCGUCUCAAGGGAUUAGAUGAUGUCUUGUUUGGUGGAAUACCUUUCGGUGUUUUGACAGAGUUAGUUGGUCCAGCUGGAAUUGGUAAAACACAAUUUUGCCUGAAGAUAUCGUUGUUGGCUUCACUGCCAGCAAGUUAUGGAGGUUUAGAUGGCCAUGUUAUAUAUAUUGAUGUAGAAUCCAAAUUCAGUUCAAGAAGGAUAAUAGAAAUUGGAGCAACAAGUUUUCCAGAGAUAUUUCAUAAGAAAGGAAUGGCACAGGAGAUGGCUGGUAGGAUCCUUGUUUUGCGGCCAACAUCACUUUCUGAAUUUACUGAAAGUUUGCAACAAAUCAAGGUUUUGCUCCUCCAACAAGAGGUGAAGUUGUUAGUUAUUGAUAGCAUGGCUGCUCUAAUUUCAGGGGAAUAUGAUCAAGGAGCUCCUAGACAACAUUCAUUGGGCUGGCAUAUUUCUUUUGUUAAGUCACUCGCUGAAUUUUCACGAAUUCCUGUUGUGGUGACAAAUCAAGUGAGAUCUCAAAGUCGUGAUGAAAUCUGCCAGCAUUCUUUUCAAGCACACAAAAAUGUCGAGACACAAGAGGGAACUGAAAAAUACGAUUCUCAUGUUGUUGCUGCUUUGGGAAUUCAUUGGGCUCAUUCUGUCACCAUUCGUCUUGUGCUUGAAGCUAAAUCAGGUCACAGGUAUAUUAAGGUGGCAAAAUCUCCAAUAUCGCCGCCCAUGGCUUUCCCUUUUAUCAUAGCAUCAUCCGGGAUAGCAUUACUGGAUGAUGAUGGAAUAGAACUGAGGGGCCAAGAGAUAAACACAAUUCACUGUCAAGAUGGCAAUCCCAGCGAUCUGCACCCCUGAUUAUUGCAACACAUUGCCUUGAUGACAUUAUUAAUUUUGAUGGGAAAAAGAUGAAGUGAUUGGUCAGAUUGGAGGUUGGGACAAGAAGUGGAAAUCCAAUUUCUAGCAAAUGCUAUGUCUUCUUUCUUCAACUUGACUGAUAAAAGUCAGAAACCUAUGAAGUAUCUUAGACUGUAAAUUUCUGAAAAUUAUCUUUUAGCAGCAUGGAGAUGCUAUGUAGGGGCCAUUGUUCAAUUUUGUGGUAAAAAUCUCAAGAUGCAAGGCCAAUUCCAAAGAGUCAAAUCUUGCAAGUAACCAUUUAGAUUGCAUUUGGUGCAGGGUUAAAGAAUUGAGUAAAAAAAUUACAUUAGUAAAAUUAAGGGGGUAAAGGAAUUUGGUAAAAGAUUAGAGCAGUAAAAUUUAAGCGUGUUUAGUAUGGAGUAAAAAAAUAUGUAUUUUGAUAAUAUUAAUAAAGGUGGGAACUCAUCUAAGACAAUUAAUUAAUGAAUAGAGAUGAAAUAAGAAAAAGAAUUCUCUUCUUGCCUCCUUCAACCCUCUCUAUUAAACCAAGUGUUUAAAGAGGUGAACCCUUGUAACAAACAUAGCCUUAAUGUAAAAUGUCUAAAGGUAAGAGUACGCAUCCUGAUUACUCCACCUUAUUGCUGCUUAGUUGUGGGACUAGCAAUAGGUGAUGACCUUUCAUCUUAAUGAGGUUUGCUAAUGCUAAGAAUAUUUUUCUGGAUGCAUAAUACAUGGCGGCUAUCCUGAUGUUCUGAACUUUGACCAAGCCAUUGUAUGAAAUAAGCUUGUUUGCAAUUUGUCCGCCUUUCUUUCUAUUUCAACGUCCCUUUUCUCCACGCCAGAAUCCUAGGUUGUGAAAUGUAUGAAAUGCAAUUGAAAAAGAACUUGGUGUGGACAAUACCAACUCAUAAAUUUUUUGGCAGCAGAUCUUUGAAAGUCUACACAUCAGACUAUCUGGAUGAUGGUAAAUUACAUGUUGGCUUGUUAUGCACAGUUGAUAAUGUUUCAUUUUCUACAUUAGCUAUAUCAUAUUUUUUAAAAUUCAGCUGAAUCAUGAUGAUGUUUAUUAUUGUAUGUCUUGUUCAAAAUUUUAUGUGAGCAGAAAUUCCUAAAAAUGUAGAAUGGAGUUGCCUAACAUGUUCCACUGGAAAAUAUUUGAAUGGACAAAUAUGGAACAGAAUAUUGACUAUUGCCUUUUGGAUCAAUUUUUAUGACAAUGUAUUGCACCAGAUUGGCGUCAUGUUAUAAUUUUAACUGUGUUAGAAGCUGCAAGUGAAGAAAUUGUUUUGUCCACUUUAUUUUGGACAAAUGAAGGGAAUGCUUACUUCUGUGUUAUUUGCUUGCUUUGGUGAUGAAUAAUAUUCAAUUCUUUGUGCUGAUGUCAAGGAGUUUAAAGCAAGUCAUAUUUUACUUGUAUCAUAGUGAAUGAUGGAAAUAGACACUAAUGAUUUUUGCUUUGUUUUA